rnacentral:rRNA from 1 species
UACGAAGGGGGCUAGCGUUGCUCGGAAUUACUGGGCGUAGAGCGCACGUAGGCGGCUUUCUAAGUCGGGGGUGAAAUCCUGGAGCUCAACUCCAGAACUGCCUUCGAUACUGGAGAGCUCGAGUCCGGGAGAGGUGAGUGGAACUGCGAAGUGUAGAGGUGAAAUUCGUAGAUAUUCGCAAGAACACCAGUGGCGAAGGCGGCUCACUGGCCCGGUACUGACGCUGAGGUGCGAAAGCGUGGGGAGCAAACAGG